rnacentral:rRNA from 1 species
CCUACGGGAGGCAGCAGUGGGGAAUAUUGGACAAUGGGCGAAAGCCUGAUCCAGCCAUGCCGCGUGUGUGAAGAAGGCCUUCGGGUUGUAAAGCACUUUCAGUGGGAAAGAAAGCCUUGGGGCUAAUACCCUCGAGGAAGGACAUCACCCACAGAAGAAGCACCGGCUAACUCCGUGCCAGCAGCCGCGGUAAUACGGAGGGUGCGAGCGUUAAUCGGAAUUACUGGGCGUAAAGCGCGCGUAGGCGGUCUGAUAAGCCGGUUGUGAAAGCCCCGGGCUCAACCUGGGAACGGCAUCCGGAACUGUCAGGCUAGAGUGCAGGAGAGGAAGGUAGAAUUCCCGGUGUAGCGGUGAAAUGCGUAGAGAUCGGGAGGAAUACCAGUGGCGAAGGCGGUCUUCUGGACUGACACUGACGCUGAGGUGCGAAAGCGUGGGUAGCAAACAGGAUUAGAUACCCCAGUAGUC